GCGAGUGGCGAACGGGUGAGUAAUACAUCGGAACGUGCCCUGUAGUGGGGGAUAACUAGUCGAAAGAUUAGCUAAUACCGCAUACGACCUGAGGGUGAAAGUGGGGGACCGCAAGGCCUCAUGCUAUAGGAGCGGCCGAUGUCUGAUUAGCUAGUUGGUGAGGUAAAGGCUCACCAAGGCGACGAUCGGUAGCUGGUCUGAGAGGACGAUCAGCCACACUGGGACUGAGACACGGCCCAGACUCCUACGGGAGGCAGCAGUGGGGAAUUUUGGACAAUGGGCGAAAGCCUGAUCCAGCAAUGCCGCGUGUGUGAAGAAGGCCUUCGGGUUGUAAAGCACUUUUGUCCGGAAAGAAAUGGCUCUGGUUAAUACCUGGGGUCGAUGACGGUACCGGAAGAAUAAGGACCGGCUAACUACGUGCCAGCAGCCGCGGUAAUACGUAGGGUCCAAGCGUUAAUCGGAAUUACUGGGCGUAAAGCGUGCGCAGGCGGUUGUGCAAGACCGAUGUGAAAUCCCCGAGCUUAACUUGGGAAUUGCAUUGGUGACUGCACGGCUAGAGUGUGUCAGAGGGGGGUAGAAUUCCACGUGUAGCAGUGAAAUGCGUAGAGAUGUGGAGGAAUACCGAUGGCGAA
rnacentral:rRNA from 1 species